GACGAACGCUGGCGGCGUGCCUAAUACAUGCAAGUCGAACGAGAGCGACCGGUGCUUGCACUGGUCAAUCUAGUGGCGAACGGGUGAGUAACACGUGGGUAACCUGCCCAUCAGAGGGGGAUAACAUCCGGAAACGGAUGCUAAAACCGCAUAGGUCUUCGAGCCGCAUGGCUUGAAGAGGAAAAGAGGCGCAAGCUUCUGCUGAUGGAUGGACCCGCGGUGCAUUAGCUAGUUGGUGAGGUAACGGCUCACCAAGGCCGUGAUGCAUAGCCGACCUGAGAGGGUGAUCGGCCACCUUGGGACUGAGACACGGCCCAAACUCCUACGGGAGGCAGCAGUAGGGAAUCUUCCGCAAUGGACGCAAGUCUGACGGAGCAACGCCGCGUGAGUGAAGAAGGUUUUCGGAUCGUAAAACUCUGUUGUUAGAGAAGAACAAGUGCUAGAGUAACUGUUAGCGACUUGACGGUAUCUAACCAGAAAGCCACGGCUAACUACGUG
rnacentral:rRNA from 1 species